AAAAUGUUUACAUUUAUUUUUGUUUCUCAUUUAAUUUCUUAGGCAAUAACACUUGUUAUUUACUAUAACAGUUAGACAUGCCCCCCCCCCCCGGGGGUCCCUUUUUUUGGAACUGGAAAUAUGGUAACCAGCCCUGGGUCCUUCCCUCCCUGCUUUUACCCUGGCCCCUUGUGGCAGGUGUCCACGGCCCGUGGGAGCCUUGCACACCUGUGGGAGGUUGGUGCAGGGCCCUGGCUUCUCCCCCCAGGCCCAGACCCUGGUUUUCCUUCCCUCCCCCCAGCCCCUUUCCAGGCUCCAGGACGUUUCACAUUCUGUGAGCUGCUAUUGCACUCCAGGUUUCACACCCAGUUUUGUGCCUGCUUUGGCUUUUUUUUCCAAGGCAUGUGGAAGGAACUGGGGGGGACCUGUGAGUCCAACCUGGAGGUGCCUGGGUCUCAGGGGAAGCCUCCAGCUCCUCCUCGCUGUUUGUCACAGGAACAGGCGCCAUCUCAGCUUGGCCGUCUAUCUGUUUGCCCUCCCAUCCCCACUUGCCAGCUUCCUCGCCGUGGACAGUGCUUGGGAGCAGGGGGCUGUGAGUUGGGAGCGAGGGGCACUGGCAGGCCAAGGGAGCCCCAGGGUGCUGGGGAGCAGGGGGCUGUGGGUCCAGAGUGAAGGACACUGUUAAUUAUGCUGGGCUGGUAAUUAAAGGGCUCCCGGGCAGGGACAUUGAUUCUCAGUCCCUAGCAAGGCAGAAGCUGGGGAAUCAAUGCAGUGGCUGGGCAAGUGGAGGGGGCUAGGCACAGUGCAGCGCAGCGCUGUGCUGUGCUGUGCAGGGAGGUAUAGGAUGGGGCUCUGGGGGGUCCUGGUGUUGCUGGGGCUGCUGUGGGGCAGGGGGCUUCCCUUCGAGCUGCAGGAGGCGCUGCAGGAGCUGCAGAGCGAGAAUGCCCGGCUCCACGGCUACAUCCAGAACCUGAGCGACGCCCUCAGUGACCUCAAGCUCCUGCUCUGGGACCACGCGCAGGAUUUGGGAACUUCGGCAGAGCACCUGCAUCGCUCACGCACCCCCUGCCAUCUGGACACCCCACAUCCCAGCGCUGCCCCCCACCCAGGCACCCCCCACCUGGGGCUGCUGGGGGGAGCCCUACUUUUGGGGGCACUAGCUGUGCAUGCUGCUCUCUGGGAGCUGAGGGGACCCCAGGAUCUGCCUGCACCCCAGCCUGGAAAUCCUUUGGUACCCCCUAGCCUGAGACUUGGACCAGCCAGCAGGGGGCGCCACCGUCUGCUCCACCUCACCUGUCCCCUCCAUUGACCACCAGGGGUGCUGGGACCAGGCCUCUCCCAUUCCAGGGCGCUCUGCUCCUGCUGUUGGUUGUGAGCCAGACUGCUGUGCUCCCUCUCUUCUCCAACAGGGGGCACCACCACAGCCCUUGCUUUGCCCACCAGGAGGCACCACUGUGCUGCCCGCGUUGGUCAUCAAAGGGUGCUGCCUGUCCCAUGGGAGCCCACUGCCUUGAGACCUGAGUCACUAGUUCCAGCCCCAUGCCCGGCAUCUUGCCCCCUCCUGUGUAGGGGGAGACCCUACCCAGCACUGGAACCUCUGGAUCAAGCUGGAUGGACGCUUUUGCCCACAUAUAUGAGACUGAAGGCCCCGACCUGAACAAAAGGGUAUGGAGUUUUGCCCAGUCUUGGGCAAAGCAGUAGGGGUGGGGGAGGAUUGCAUGGUAGGGGGUGCAAUAGCCACAUGGCUGGGGGGUUAUGCCUCUGGGAAAUUCCCCCCCCACAAGUGCAACCCUACAAAAAUAAACAGAUCAAAAUGG